CAGUCGGUCAGUGAGCGCGGGCCAGCGGGAUGGAGCCUCAGCAUCUGCGCCCCGGGUUUGGAUCCCAGAGCACAGCCUGGGUGGAACCGGGGCUGCUGGUGUACCACCAUCAUCCCCAACACUCCUGUUCAGACGAUGGGUGAGGAAAGUGGAAAGUCUAAUCAGUCAGCCGAUGACCAGUGGGAAAAAUGAGCUACAAGAUCACCUGAUCUUCAUCAGUGAGAAAGCUUUGCACAAGAGAUGAAGUAGGAACAAAGCCUGGGAGGAUCCUGUGGAGUGACUUUUGUGGGCUUCUUUCUGCUCAUGGACAACCUGAUGGUCACAGCCAGAAGAGAACACAUCAGAGUUUACAUGGAUCUAGUCUUCAGGACCUUCUGUCCAGGAAACAAUAUGUUUGAUACUCAGUAAAUGAAUACCAAAAUGACCCUGAGGUGGUGUCCAGCGUUAUACUUUCCAGUGAAGAAUGCUAAGAUCAAAAAAAAACUCAUGUGAAAGCAUAUGUUGGUGAGAAUUUGAAAAAAGAGGAAUUUUCUUCCAUUUGUGGUGGGACUGCAAAGUGCUAUGGCAACUAUGGAAAUCAAUAUGGAGUUCCUCAUAAAUUUUCAGAUAGAUCUACCUGAGAGCCAAGGACCAACCUUACUGGUGCAUGGCCUGCUACUUUCAGUUUUCACUUGAUGGCUUGUUACUCAGAUUUUCUUAUUGGGCUAUGACUUUGCUCUUGUCUUUCUGA